rnacentral:rRNA from 1 species
GAACGGUAGCACAGGGGAGCUUGCUCCCCGGGUGACGAGUGGCGGACGGGUGAGUAAUGUCUGGGAAACUGCCCGAUGGAGGGGGAUAACUACUGGAAACGGUAGCUAAUACCGCAUAACGUCUUCGGACCAAAGUGGGGGACCUUCGGGCCUCACGCCAUCGGAUGUGCCCAGAUGGGAUUAGCUAGUAGGUGGGGUAACGGCUCACCUAGGCGACGAUCCCUAGCUGGUCUGAGAGGAUGACCAGCCACACUGGAACUGAGACACGGUCCAGACUCCUACGGGAGGCAGCAGUGGGGAAUAUUGCACAAAGGGCGCAAGCCUGAUGCAGCCAUGCCGCGUGUAUGAAGAAGGCCUUCGGGUUGUAAAGUACUUUCAGCGGGGAGGAAGGCGAUGCGGUUAAUAACCGUGUCGAUUGACGUUACCCGCAGAAGAAGCACCGGCUAACUCCGUGCCAGCAGCCGCGGUAAUACGGAGGGUGCAAGCGUUAAUCGGAAUUACUGGGCGUAAAGCGCACGCAGGCGGUCUGUCAAGUCAGAUGUGAAAUCCCCGGGCUUAACCUGGGAACUGCAUUUGAAACUGGCAGGCUAGAGUCUUGUAGAGGGGGGUAGAAUUCCAGGUGUAGCGGUGAAAUGCGUAGAGAUCUGGAGGAAUACCGGUGGCGAAGGCGGCCCCCUGGACAAAGACUGACGCUCAGGUGCGAAAGCGUGGGGAGCAAACAGGAUUAAAUACCCUGGUAGUCCACGCCGU